AAAAAAAAUAAGUCUAUUAUACGAGAAGAAAAGCAUUUUUGAGGUCUUUUUUUGGUUAUUUUUUGUUUGUUUGUUUGAGAUGGAGACUCACUCUGCCACCCAGGCUGCAGUACAGUGGCACAAUUUUGAUUCGCUGCAACCUCUACCUCCCAGGUUUAAGCAAUUCUCAUACCUCAGCCUCCCAAGUAGCUGGAACUAAAGGUGCACACCAACACCCCCGGCUAACUUUUGUAUUUUUAGUAGAGAUGGGGUUUCACCAUGUUAGGGUGCUUUUGAAAUUGUGACCUUAGGUGACCGGUUCACAUGGGUCUACCAAAGUACUCUGAUUGCAGGGAUGAGCCACCACGUACCGAGGCUUUGAUAUCCUUUUUUUUUUUUUUUUUUUUUUUGAGAUAGACUCUCACUCUGUCGCCCAGGCUGGAGCCCAGUGGUGUGAUCUCGACUCCCUGCAAGCUCCGCCUCCCAGGUUCAUGCCGUUCUCCUGCCUCAGCAUCUGGAGUAGCUGGGACUACAGGCGCCAGCCACCAUGCCCAGCUAAUUUUUUGUAUUUUUAGUAGAGACAGGGAUUCACCCUGUUAGCCAGGAAAGUCUCGAUCUCCUGACCCCGUGAUCUGCCUGCCUCGGCCUCCCAAAGUGCUGGGAUUACAGGCAUGAGCCUCCGUGCCUGGCCUCAUAUACCUUUUAAAAAUUACUAUGAUAUAUCCCUUUUAAAAAGUACUAACUGAAAAAAGUACUGGCUCAAAAAAAAUAAUAGAAAAUAAGAAACAAAAAACAGGCUGAGAAAAGUGGCUCACAUCUGUUGGCCAUGCUGGUUUCAAACUCCUGACCUCAAGUGACCUAUGUGCCUUGGCCUCCCAACGUGCUGGGAUUACAGGUGGGAGCCACCGCACCUGGCCCCAUCCUAUUAACAUAAACACUUGAAUGUCAAUAAAGGCUUGAACUCAAUGUUAAGUCAACACAAACUCAAGUUAAUGCUGAAUUGACUCCAAUGUCAAUUAAUGCUUGAUGGUUUGCUAUACUCAUUUCAUUGGGAAUGGUUAUCUCAAAAAUGAAUUUUCUGAUGUUCUGCAUGGAGUGAUCUUGGACUGAAGACUUGCCACACUGAUGACAUUUGUAAGAUUUCUGUCCAGUAUAGAUUCUCUGAUGUCUAAUGACGUGUGAACGUGAAGCAAAGGCUUUGCCACAAUCAUCACACUUGUGAGGUUUCUCUCCUGUAUAAAUUCUCCUAUGUUUUGCAUAGGAUGAAGCUUGACGGAAGACCUUGGCACAGUCAUGACAUUUGUAAGCUUUCUCUCCAGUAUAAAUUCUCCUAUGUCUUUAAGGUGUGAUUUCCAACUGGAAACUUUGUCACAUGCUUCACAUUUCUAAGGUUUCUCUCCAGUAUGAAUUCUAUGAUGACGUGAAAGGUGUGAUUGUUGAUUAAAAGCCUUCCCACAUUCAUUACACUUGUAAGGUUUCUCUGCAGUGUGAAUUCUGGUAUGUCUUGACAGGAGUGAAUUACGCACGAAAGCCUUGUCACAAAUUGUACAUUUGUAAGAUUUCUCUCCAGUAUGAAGUCUACGAUGGUAUAUAAGGGAUGAGCAGUGACGGAAGGUAUUGCCACACUCAUUACACUUGUAAGGUUUCUCACCACUAUGAAGUCUACGAUGGCAAUGAAGGGAUGACCUGCGACUGAAGGUCUUGCUGCACUCAUUACACUUGUAAGGUUUCUCACCACUAUGAAGUCUACGAUGGCAAUGAAGGUAUGACCUCUGACUGAAGGUCUUGCUGCACUCAUUACACUUGUAAGGUUUCUCACCACUAUGAACUCUGCGAUGGCUUGCAAGGUAUGACCUCAGACGGAAGGUCUUGCUGCACUCAUUACACUUGUAAGGUUUCUCUCCACUAUGAAUUCUAGUAUGUUUUGCCAGAUAGGAAUGACACGCGAAAGCCUUGUCACAAACCUUACAUUUGUAUGGUUUCUCUCCGGUGUGAAUUAUCUUAUGUGUCUCAAGGGUUGAUUCACAACUGAAAACCUUUUCACAUUCUUCAUAUUUGUAAGGUUGCUCUCCAGUAUGAAUUGACUUAUGAAUUAAAAGAUCUGAAUUUUGACCAAAGGUCUUCCCACAUUCAUUACACUUGUAAGGUUUUCCUCCACUAUGAAUUCUAGUAUGUCUUACCAGGUGUGAAUUCCAUGCGAAAGCCUUGUCACAAACCUUACAUUUGUAAGAUUUCUCUCCACCAUGAAGCCUAUGAUGGCAUACAAGGGAUGACUUGUGACUGAAGGUCUUGCCACACUCAUUACAUUUGUAAGUUUUCUCUCCAGUGUGAAUUCUUUUAUGUCGAGCCAGCUGUGAAUUCCACGUGAAAGCUGUGUCACAAACCUUACAUUUGUAUGGUUUCUCUCCAGUAUGAAUUCUCUUAUGUGACUCAAGGGUUGAUUUCCGACUGAAAACUUUGUCACAUUCUUCACAUUUGUAAGGUUUCUCUCCAGUAUGAAUUCUAC
rnacentral:lncRNA from 1 species